AUUGAACGCUGGCGGCAGGCCUAACACAUGCAAGUCGAACGAGUGGCGGACGGGUGAGUAAUGUCUGGGAAACUGCCCGGUGGAGGGGGAUAACUACUGGUAACGGUAGCUAAUACCGCAUACAGUCGGCUGUGCCGAGAUGGGAUUAGCUAGUGGGUGGGGUAAAGGCUCACCUAGGCGACGAUCCCGAGCUGGUCUGAGAGGAUGACCAGCCACACUGGGACUGAGACACGGCCCAGACUCCUACGGGAGGCAGCAGUGGGGAAUAUUGCACAAUGGGCGAAACCCUGAUCCAGCCAUCCCGCGUGUGUGAUGAAGGCCUUCGGGUUGUAAAGUACUUUCAGCAGGGAGGCGUUACCCGCAGAAUAAGCACCGGCUAACUCCGUGCCAGCAGCCGCGGUAAUUC
rnacentral:rRNA from 1 species